UAUGUCUAUGAGGGUGUCAAUGCCCU
rnacentral:piRNA from 1 species